AAACAAUGAUGUCUUCUGAUACAUCUGCCCGGGGAUUACGAACGUUAGUUUAAAACCCAAAGGACUUGGCGGUGCUUAGACCACCUAGAGGAGCCUGUUAUAUAACCGAUGACCCCCGUUAAACCUCACCCUCUCUUGCCAUUUCAGCUUAUAUACCGCCGUCGCAAGCUCACCCUGUAAAGGACAAACAGUGGGCAAAAUCGGCACCGCCCAAAAAGUCAGGUCGAGGUGUAGCUUAUGAGAGGGGAUCUAAUGGGCUACACUCACUGUCGACAGUACACACGGAAGAGUCAUUUAAACAUGCAACUGAAGAAGGAUUUAGCAGUAAGAGGGAAAUAGAGCGUCCC
rnacentral:rRNA from 1 species